UUUUCAGUAAAUGACAACUUUGAUCAAAUUUCAGGUCACAACAGCUUUUUUUCGGUCUGAAUUACAUAAAAGAAGCAGAAGUCUCCAGGGUAAUCUAUCACAAGAUCCACAAAUCUUACCCAGGUCUACAGGACAAGAUUAAAACAUCAUAUAUACACCUUGCAAGUUUCCAGAUCGAUAGCAAAAAGUAUCAAUAUGCAUCCGCUGAUCAAGAAACAUGUCUCAUGCAGAAACUGCUAACCUGAUAAAUAGUACAAACAAGAAACACUACAUUGUAAGGAAACUAGCAACUAGAAACAAAUUUCAAUAAAAUGUCCAGUAUCAGAAUGGCAACCAUUACAUGCUUAAAGACCCUUCACAUGCAUGAAACAAUACCUGCUCCACAAAAUGAAUUGGAACUCACACACCAAAAAGAAAAAAUAAUUCAGACAAACAACUUCUCACAAAUCACACUUUUUACCUGAUUACCUUCCUUGUGUUUGUUAAGGUUAUAAUGUCAUCAAAUUAACUACUUCUUACCACCUUUGGCCCUGGACUUCUUAGCACUAGUUUCUUUAGCAUUGAUAUUCGGCGUUUCCUGUCAGAAGAAUGUACAAAGAAUGAAAACUAAAAAUGAGUAGCAGCUGGCAAUUAAUUGCUUCCAAGAUCUAGACACAUGUACUAAUGAUUCAAUAUUAUGUCUACCAUUUACACCACUGGAGAGA
rnacentral:misc_RNA from 1 species